CCUACGGGAGGCAGCAGUGGGGAAUAUUGGGCAAUGGACGCAACUCUGACCCAGCAACGCCGCGUGAAUGAUGAAGGUCUUCGGAUUGUAAAGUUCUGUGAUGGGGGAUGAACACAAUGACGGUACCCCACUAGCAAGUCACGGCUAACCUCGUGACAGCAGCCGUGGUAAUACGUAGGGGGCAAGCGUUAUCCGUAAUGAUUGGGCGGAAAGGGUGCGUAGGGGGUUUAGUAAGUUGGCGGUGUAAUGUCGGGUCUCAACCUCGGCGCUACCGCCAAAACUAUUAGACUAGAGUGCAGGAGGGGGAAGUGGAAUUCCAAGUGUAGCGGUGGAAUGCGUAGAUAUAAGGAGGAACAUCAGUGGCGAAGGCGACUUACUGGACUGUAACUGACGCUGAGGCACGAAAGCGUGGGGAGCAAACAGGAUUAGAUACCCGUGUAGUC
rnacentral:rRNA from 1 species